UGUGCAUUGAAGUUUGACGGUGAAUAUCUUCUGAACAGAGAGGUAUACAAAAAAAUUGUAAGAGACCUUUUUUGGAGAGAAUUCAAUUUCUUACAAAAAUGUGAUACGUUUUUUUUUUAUAAAUAGUAAAUACCGAGAUAUGUAUUUCUCUUCCUCACCGUAAGAAAAAAAUAGAAAACUGCGAGGCGGAGGACCUUCCUAUUAAAAUUAAGAGCUCAUACUUGGAGAUGUUUUUGAGGUC
rnacentral:lncRNA from 1 species